UACGAAGGGGGCUAGCGUUGCUCGGAAUUACUGGGCGUAAAGCGCGUGUAGGCGGACUGGUGUGUCGGAUGUGAAAUCCCCAGGCUCAACCUGGGAACUGCAUUCGAAACUGCCAGCCUUGAGUGGUGGAGAGGGAAGUGGAAUUCCUGGUGUAGGGGUGAAAUGCGUAGAUAUAGGAAGGAACACCAGUGGCGAAGGCGACCACCUGGACUGAUACUGACACUGAGGUGCGAAAGCGUGGGGAGCAAACAGG
rnacentral:rRNA from 1 species